UGAACGCUGGCGGUAGGCCUAACACAUGCAAGUCGAACGGCAGCACAGUAAGAGCUUGCUCUUACGGGUGGCGAGUGGCGGACGGGUGAGGAAUACAUCGGAAUCUACUUUUUCGUGGGGGAUAACGUAGGGAAACUUACGCUAAUACCGCAUACGACCUACGGGUGAAAGCAGGGGAUCUUCGGACCUUGCGCGAUUGAAUGAGCCGAUGUCGGAUUAGCUAGUUGGCGGGGUAAAGGCCCACCAAGGCGACGAUCCGUGGCUGGUCUGAGAGGAUGAUCAGCCACACUGGAACUGAGACACGGUCCAGACUCCUACGGGAGGCAGCAGUGGGGAAUAUUGGACAAUGGGCGCAAGCCUGAUCCAGCCAUACCGCGUGGGUGAAGAAGGCCUUCGGGUUGUAAAGCCCUUUUGUUGGGAAAGAAAAGCAGCAGGUUAAUACCCCGCUGUUCUGACGGUACCCAAAGAAUAAGCACCGGCUAACUUCGUG
rnacentral:rRNA from 1 species